UACAGAGGGGGCAAGCGUUGUCCGGAUUUACUGGGCGUACAGCGCGCGCAGGCGGCCUCGUAUGUGACCGGUGACAUCCUCGGGCUCAACCCGAGGCGGCCCGGUUAGACAGCGGAGCUGGAGGCAGGGAGAGGGAUGUGGAAUACCCGGUGGAGCGGUGAAAUGCGUAGAGAUCGGGUGGAACACCAGCGGCGAAGGCGGCAUCCUGGCCCUGACCUGACGCUGAGGCGCGAUAGCGUGGGGAGCGAACGGG
rnacentral:rRNA from 1 species